GAUGAAGAACGUAGUGAAAUGCGAUACUUGGUGUGAAUUGCAGAAUCCCGUGAACCAUCGAGUCUUUGAACGCAAGUUGCGCCAGAAGCCAAUAGGCCGAGGGCACGCCUGCCUGGGCGUCACACGUCGUUGCCCCCCCAUCUACUCCUUCGGGAUUGCGGGGGGCGGAUGAUGGCCUCUCGUGCGCCUCGUCGCGCGGUUGGCCUAAAUGCCAAGUCCUCGGCGACGCACGCCACGACAAUCGGUGGUUGCGAAACCUCGGUUGCCUGUCGUGUGCGGUCGUCGUGCAUCGAGGGCUCGAAAAAAUUGCCGGGCUUCGGCUCGACUUUCAACGCGACCCCAGGUCAGGCGGGGUUACCCGCUGAAUUUAAGCAUAUCAAUAAGCGGAGGA
rnacentral:misc_RNA from 1 species